rnacentral:rRNA from 1 species
CGUGAAAUUGUUGAAAGGGAAGCGCUCGCUACCAGACUUGGGUUCGGCGGUUCAACCGGGGCCACGCCCCGGGGCAUUCCGCCGGCCCAGGCCAGCAUCAGCUUUCCGUCGGGGGCAAAGGCGUCGGGAAUGUGGCUCCCCUCCGGGGGAGUGUUAUAGCCCGGCGUGUCAUACCCUUCGGGGGGCUGAGGUACGCGCUUCUGCAAGGAUGCUGGCGUAAUGGUAGCUAGUGACCCGUCUUGAAACACGG